GCCCGUUUUCUGGGAGAAGUUUCUGUUCAAAUUGAGCAGAUACUCACUCUAAUCUUCGAGAAUUUCAAGUAACUUGAUGAAUCAUCGAUGUCGGGUAUUAAAGAUGUAUUCGGACCUGCAACAGGAUUGGCUGCACCUGCACUUGAUCCAGCUUUGAAGCUCUACAAAUGGUUGCAUGAUAUUCUUUCCCCGAGAUUGCUACGAGAAAAAGGUCAAUCAGGCACUUGUUUGAAAUUGAUGAGUUCUUUUCGACUAAUAACGAAAACAUGUUAUUGGAUCCCGUGGCUGUCUCCACAGCAUAUAUGAAAGGAAAAACUAUUGCAUGGGUCUCAAGAUGUGAAGGUAGCCGUGAAAAACAAAGUUCCUCUUGUAAGGUCGUUGACUUGAGCUGUGUUACAUUCUGUAUUGAAACAAGUAACACAGCGACCAUACCUAAGGUUCACGAGGAAUAUGUUCCCUCAUUUAUUUUGGAGGUAAGUUAGAAGCAUAAUCUGUUUCU